rnacentral:lncRNA from 1 species
CUGUAUCGUCCUGUAAAUGCAUGAAAUAUUUGCCACCGGACUUUGAGCAACCAUCUAUCAAUCAAUUCAAAUUGUACCUCAAUAUCAAUGUUUACCAAAUUACGUUAUUCCGUAAUAUUAUUAAUUCGUAUAUUUUAUCAAAUUUGAUUCGCAUGUUAAACUAUAUUUUCCAAGGUAGAGAGAAAACGGCGGAUAGCAAAAAGCAUAUUGACCGGCAAAAAGCAUAUUGCACGGUUAUUUUUAGAAUAUCUAAAAACCGAUAUACUUUGUGACGUCAUGUAAUGAAUUUCAGGAUAUUGUUUAACCUUUUGAAACAAAUGAUAUCUGUGAUCGAUUAUUUGACGAAAAAAAAUCUUCAAAUACAUAAGAUGUCAAAAAAAAAAGUAAAUGAAAUAACAACUAAUAUGUUAUUAUUGUCAAGGAGACAAUGUAAUAUCUAUAAAGUUCCAACAAACCUAAAUGACGAUUUUGAUACAAACAUGGUCGGAAAUUAAUAAUAUAACAAAUAUAGCCUUUGUAUGAGGUCAAUACAGUAUAUAUUGACCCAAAGAAGUAUAUCGACCUCGGACUUCGUCCUCAGUCAAUAUACUUCUUUCAGGUCAAUAUAUCCUUGUAUCGACCUCAUACAAAGGCUAUAUUUGUAUAACGUCACACGUUUUCUGCCAAAUUCUAAGCGUAUCGGUCAACUUUGAAGCAAUGUAUAUAAAAAAAAACAAGGACGAUGACAUAUGUGUUUCUAUAUAUAUAUAUGAAUAAGGGGAUGUGGUUUGAUCGCCAACUCUCCACAAGAGACCAAAUGACAAUGAAAUUUACAUCAAUAGGUCACUGAACUGCCUUCAUCAAUGAGCAAAGCCCGUAUCGCAUAAAGUCAGCUAUAAAAGGCCCCGAAAUGACAUAAUAUUUAUGUAAAACAAUUCAAACGAGAAAACUUACGAACUAAUUUAUGUCCGAAAUAAUGAACGAAAAACAAAUAUGUUACAUAACAACAAACUGAAUUACAGGCUACUUGACUCGGGACAGGAACAUACACAAUGUGGCGAGGUUAAAACUCGUUUAAAGGAGCCAAUCCUCCCUUAACCUUGGGCAUAAACUGGAUCCCUGUUUGUGUUCACUUAUCUCAUCAGAUGAAUACAAAUUGAAUACAUCUCAGAAAAACAGAGUGGACAUGGAAGGGUACUUAUACAUCCGAACAAC